GCGCAUGUGGCGUAAUUGGCAGCCGCGUUAGACUUAGGAUCUAAUGUCCUUGUGACGUAUGGGUUCGAGUCCCUUCAUGCGCA
rnacentral:tRNA from 1 species